AUUGAACGCUGGCGGCAGGCCUAACACAUGCAAGUCGAACGAGUGGCGGACGGGUGAGUAAUGUCUGGGAAACUGCCUGAUGGAGGGGGAUAACUACUGGAAACGGUAGCUAAUACCGCAUACCAUCGGAUGUGCCCAGAUGGGAUUAGCUAGUAGGUGGGGUAACGGCUCACCUAGGCGACGAUCCCUAGCUGGUCUGAGAGGAUGACCAGCCACACUGGAACUGAGACACGGUCCAGACUCCUACGGGAGGCAGCAGUGGGGAAUAUUGCACAAUGGGCGAAAGCCUGAUGCAGCCAUGCCGCGUGAAUGAAGAAGGUCUUCGGGUCGUAAAAUACUGUCAGCAGGGAGGCGUUACCCGCUCAGGAAGCAACGGCUAACUCCGUGCCAGCAGCCGCGGUAAUAC
rnacentral:rRNA from 1 species